rnacentral:other from 1 species
UAAGUCCUGAUGUGUUCGUCGUAUAACCUAUUGUUUUGACCGAACAAUAUGUUAUACGGGAGCCCGGGUUUUCAGGUGGAGUACAUGCCUCGUUCACGAACAAGAGGACUUACGGAAGCUUGAAACAGGGCACCCACCUGUUGGAGAGCGGGUUCAAAACGAAGGCAUCGACGGCACGAUUGGGACUUUC